rnacentral:rRNA from 1 species
UACAGAGGUCCCAAGCGUUGUUCGGAUUCACUGGGCGUAAAGGGUGCGUAGGUGGCGAGGUAAGUCGGAUGUGAAAGCUCGGAGCUCAACUCCGAAAUGGCAUUGGAAACUACCUUGCUCGAGGGAUGGAGGGGGGACUGGAAUUCUCGGUGUAGCAGUGAAAUGCGUAGAUAUCGAGAGGAACACCAGUGGCGAAGGCGGGUCUCUGGACAGUUCCUGACACUGAGACACGAAGGCCAGGGGAGCAAACGGG